rnacentral:rRNA from 1 species
UACGUAGGGUGCGAGCGUUGUCCGGAAUUAUUGGGCGUAAAGAGCUCGUAGGCGGUGUGUCACGUCGUUCGUGAAAACCUGCAGCUUAACUGUGGGCGUGCGGUCGAUACGGGCAUCACUGGAGUUCGGCAGGGGAGACUGGAAUUCCUGGUGUAGCGGUGAAAUGCGCAGAUAUCAGGAGGAACACCGGUGGCGAAGGCGGGUCUCUGGGACGAUACUGACGCUGAGGAGCGAAAGCGUGGGGAGCAAACAGG